CGAGAUGAUGUGCAGUUCAUGUUAGAUUUGCUAUUUCUAGAGUUACAGUGAAGUAGAAGAGUCCGGUCGUGUUAUGGGUCAGCAGUUCAACAAAAAGGACGGAGAGAUGUGUGCCAUGUUGAAGUUGUGGCUGCCCCUCCUACCCGGCACUUUUAGAAUCCUCCCUCUCAACCUCUGCUCUGAUCUGCUUUGCCUUUGCCAAGUGAUCACAAGUUUUUUGCAAUGGUGCCCCCUGCGUCUCCACCGUCUUUUAAAUCAACCCCAACUGCCUGUGACAGAAGAAAAGUUCACAAGACAUCCUGAAAUGGAAUUGUGAUUGGAGUGAGACAGCCACAAUUAUGUAUGCUGGG